AGUGGGACGGCUGGGUCAAAUGGUGGUUCCAUUCCUUUCUGAGAAAUCUCCAUAUUGUUUUCCAAAGUGGUUAUACCAAUUUGCAGUCCCACCAGCAAU
rnacentral:pre_miRNA from 1 species